rnacentral:rRNA from 1 species
AGCUCAAGCGUGAGAAGGGCAUUUGGUGGAUGCCUUGGCGCCAAGAGGCGAUGAAGGACGUGGCACGCUGCGCUAAGCCACGGGGAGCCGCGAGCAGGCUUUGAUCCGUGGAUUUCCGAAUGGGGAAACCCGACCGUCAGGUCAUCUUUACCUGAAUUCAUAGGGUAAAGAAGCUAACCCGGGGAAUUGAAAUAUCUCAGUACCUGGAGGAAAGGACAUCAACCGAGACUCCCUUAGUAGUGACGAGCGAACGGGGACCAGGCCAGUGCCUUUGGGAGAUAACCAGAACCGUCUGGAAAGUCGGGCCGUAGAGGGUGAUAGCCCCGUAUGGGUAAAGUAACCGAAGGCGUCGAGUAGGGCGGGGCACGUGAAACCCUGUCUGAAUAUGGGGGGACCACCCUCCAAGCCUAAGUACUCCUUGGCGACCGAUAGCGAACCAGUACCGUGAGGGAAAGGUGAAAAGUACCCCUAGUAGGGGAGUGAAAUAGACCUGAAACCGAAUGCCUACAAGCAGUGGGAGCCGAAAGGUGACCGCGUACCUUUUGUAUAAUGGGCCAGCGAGUUAGUCUUUGCAGCAAGCUUAAGCCGAUAGGUGUAGGCGUAGCGAAAGCGAGUCUGAAUAGGGCGCAGAGUUGCAGGGAUUAGACCCGAAGCCGAGUGAUCUAGCCAUGGGCAGGUUGAAGGUGCGGUAACACGUACUGAAGGACCGAACCCACGUCUGUUGAAAAAGACCGGGAUGACCUGUGGUUAGGGGUGAAAGGCCAAUCAAACUCGGCGAUAGCUGGUUCUCCGCGAAAGCUAUUUAGGUAGCGCGUCAUGUAUCACCGCCGGGGGUAGAGCACUGGAUCGGGACGGGGGGCGCGAGCCUUUACCAACUCGAACCAAACUCCGAAUACCGGCGAGUGCAGCAUGGCAGACAGUCUUCGGGUGCUAACGUCCGGGGACGAAAGGGAAAAAACCCUGACCUCCAGCUAAGGCCCCUAAGUGGUGGCUAAGUGGGAAAGGAUGUGGGAUAGCCAAGACAGCCAGGAGGUUGGCUUAGAAGCAGCCAUCCUUUAAAGAAAGCGUAACAGCUCACUGGUCUAAACAAGCCGUCCUGCGCCGAAGAUGUACCGGGGCUUAAGCCACCCGCCGAAGCUGAGGGUAUCAGGUGACAGGUGUCAGAUGUUAGGUGACAAACAAACGAAAACAGCCGAAGUUGUUAUCGCCAUCAUUCGUCAGCGAAAUUUCGACAAUUCAUAAUCAGAUGUUGGCGCAACAAGUAUCAAGCCAUCGCUCGCAUGCUGUAUGCUCUCGCGAAGUCUGUGGGUUCGUGACGUUAUGUUUAUCACUUGACACCUGGCACCUGGGCCUUGAUGCGGUAGCGGAGCGUUCCGUAGGCCUGCGAAGGUGUGCCGUGAGGCAUGCUGGAGGUAUCGGAAGUGCGAAUGCUGGCAUGAGUAGCGACAAAGAGUGUGAGAAAC